CAGACUUGUUGUCUUCAAGAAAAAUGUAAGAAUCUUAACUAUUCAAACACCAUGUUUAUGAUAAUUUAUGAAAAUUCUUAAAAAUUUCAUUGUAGUGUGUGCUUAAUUGUGGUAAAUGAACAAUUGUCACAAACUUUAAUGGGGGCAUUUUUUGUGCUUGAAAUGCAUGUUCCAAUGUUAAUGGAUGUUAGGGGCUAUUUUCUCUUUUUCAAUGAUAUCAUCCUAUGUUUACUUUAUAAAUUCUUAGCUCCUCUACUAUAUCCUAUUUUAUUGCUACAUUUCUCUAUUGCUCUCCCUUUUAUCUCUUUUCUUUCACUUUCACUUUUCCUCAAAUUUUCUUGAAAGAUUUCUAACUUAU
rnacentral:lncRNA from 1 species